AACGAACGCUGGCGGCAUGCCUAACACAUGCAAGUCGAACGAACCCUUCGGGGUUAGUGGCGCACGGGUGCGUAACGCGUGGGAAUCUGCCCUUUGCUUCGGAAUAACAGUUAGAAAUGACUGCUAAUACCGGAUGAUGUCUUCGGACCAAAGAUUUAUCGGCAAAGGAUGAGCCCGCGUAGGAUUAGGUAGUUGGUGGGGUAAAGGCCUACCAAGCCGACGAUCCUUAGCUGGUCUGAGAGGAUGAUCAGCCACACUGGGACUGAGACACGGCCCAGACUCCUACGGGAGGCAGCAGUGGGGAAUAUUGGACAAUGGGCGCAAGCCUGAUCCAGCAAUGCCGCGUGAGUGAUGAAGGCCUUCGGGUCGUAAAGCUCUUUUACCAGGGAUGAUAAUGACAGUACCUGGAGA
rnacentral:rRNA from 1 species